AGCGCGCGGCCUUUUUCGUUUCUUUUGCAUUUCUCGCCACUUGCAUUUUGAUUUUCAAUUGAAAUAGCUGGUGUUUGAUUUGACUUGUGAAUUGUGAAAUUUAUAUAUUCUUUGCGGUUUUAAUUUUCAGUUCCAGAAGAACUAGUUCAAAACAAAAGGGUGGACUUACAUCUACAUAAAAGUUGUGUUUUAUUAGGGUGGACCUAAGAACACAAAUUAAGUGAACAAAAAUUUAAGAAAAAUAAACAUAAAUUUAAAUAAAUAAACAUUACAUAAAUAAAAAAAUUUAAUAACUUAAUUGAAAAAAUAUUAUACAAAACAAACAUAACUAAUAUAAUUUAAAAUGAGGGGAAUGUCGCGGUCAAAUAUUCAUCGCUUAACGAAAAAACAAAAGGAAGAGCUUCAGCAAUCGGCUGCUAGAGCUCUUACUUUUGAUACAGAAAAUAAUUCUGGAAAUGAAUGCCUAUGUGAACCCGAAUCGGAUAAAAGUGCAUCAAACUAUUCUUAUGAGUAUGAUACCUAUGAAUCUCCGUGAAAAAUUAUUAGAAUGGUACCAUAAUAAUAAUGUUACUAGAGUUCAUAUUGAUGCACUUUUAAAAACUUUUGAAUUCGGAAAAUCUAGAUCUUCAAUAGGAUAUUAAGUCCAAGUUUGAUAAUGGAGGGAAGGUUUUGCGUCCUACAUUCAUUUAAAUGGAACAUUAUUCGAGUCACAAAGAAGGGACGGUUACCGCUUCACCGACCAUAUUAAAGACCUUCGACUGGCCUUCUCAAGGGCCAAAAAUAAAACUUACAAGGCUAAAAGUUUGGACAAAAAGAUGAGAGAGGACGAAAACGGCCAGGAGUAAUACAAUAAGUUUUAAAGCAUGUUUAUAUUAAAAAAAUUAAAUAAAUAAAAAUUGGAAUUGAAAAAAGAAACGGUUCCCAAUAGCUUUUUUGGGAAGGAUAAUAUUUGCAUUCUUGGGUAAGACAAUUAGAAGGCUAGUUUUGGAAUCAUACUUAAUGUGUUCUUGGGGAAGGGAUCAAUAUUCAUUCUUUAGAUGUGUUACGCAAUGCUUGCUUUGGAAGCUAUCCGGGAGAGUUCCCGAGGAACGUUUCUAUGUUCAUUCCAACAGUGCGCUGUAGAAUGCUUCCUUCGUAAAGUACAAAUGGAAGGGAAACCCGAGCGUUUCCGAAGUUGAAACUACCUUCCAAUGGAACGCAUUAAGACUCGUUCUUAGAUCGGUUCUAAAAGAAGGCUUGCUUUUUGUCCCGUCUCGAACAAAAAGGAAAGGAAGCUUUCAGGGAUCUGGAAUGCGUUUUUCGCAUGCAAAGGAAGCGUAAAAGAACGCAUCCUGAAAGCGUGUUUUUUCCGACUGGGAAAUCUCAAUGUAAAAAUGUUCACUCACACCGGGAGAAAAGCGUGGAAAAAUAAACGCCAUCCCGAAUGCCAAUAAAGGCGCCCACAUAUGCAGAGGAGUUGCGCUGGGGCACGUUUGAGUUUCACGUGAAAGCAUUUUUAAUCAAAAUUCUCAACAGGCUAAAGCAGCGCGAGAUCAAAAACACUUGCCACAUCGCGUAUGCGUGUGUGUGAGUGUGAGUGAGUGUGUGUGUGUAUCCUGAAACUCCUUGCCACAAAAGCCGACGAGCUGACACACCCACACGGGCUGGGUUUUUGGAUAGAUUGCAGCUGCAACACCUGCAACACCUGCAACACCUGGAAGUAACGUGACUCUGUCUCCUCACCUGCCGCAGCAAUAUCUUGACUAAAAAAGGGGGCGGUGACUGUAA